AUGGCUGAAAUGACAGCUAUACUAACCGAUACGUUGGUGGUGAUGUUCAGCCGUGCCAUAUCUACAUGGCUAAUUGUGAAGAAGGCCACCAGAUCCGGGCCACCGGGCGAGCAAGCGCGGCUGGAGGAGGUGUCGCUCAAUAGUUACGUGCUCCUUCAAACGUACAUUUUGAUGGGGGUGACAGGGUUAGGCUACCUGGCGCUCACAUGGUCGACGGUAGUCCUCCUGGGUGGCUUCGUCACCUCCUUGGGCAACAAGGAUUUCUGGUGCCUCACAGGCAUUAGCAUGGUACAGGCAGCCAGGAUCUUCAACGACUCAGGGGACAACCUAUUCCCUACAUUUUUGAACCUAACGGGAAAGCUUGUGAGGAAAUUUUUAACAGAUCCCAGGAAACAGUUUACACAAAAUUGGUAUGCACAAAAAGGGUAUCUACCGGUACAAGUCAUUCUGUCGGUACAAGUUGUCAUUGUCCAAAUACUAUCCUUGCCAGCCCUGGUCGUGGUUCUAAUGGCAUGGAUCGUUUAUGAACUUGGGCCUGUUGCAUGCACUGUGCUCUCACUGUGGCGCCUAUGGCAGCACGAUUAUUGCAACACCGCAUGUGAUGACAACAAAGCAAACCUGGUGCCAGCACUGAACAUAUUCUACUGUUUGGUUAUUGGCCAAGGUGUGCUCUUCUUCAUAUGGUGGCUGAUGGAUAUGUCAGUGAUGUGGGUUGUGGUUUUGUUCCGGGAAGAAUCUCAGUUACCAGAAAAGUGGGGCAGCAUAACAAUUUUAGAUUACCUAUAUGAUACCCGAGCAAAAUGCUGGCGAGACCCUACAUCCCUAGAUGGUAGGAAUUUGAUCAACUAUGCUGUUGAUUUGAUUGACUCGGAAUCGCAGAAAGACUACCUCUCAGGAGCAAGGAUUCUCGACAACUUCAUUAAGCUGGACGCAGAUGUAAGGUCCCUGCUACUCCCCUCAAGACCAAAGAUUCAGAAGCUGAUUGAUACGCUAGGAUGGAGAUGCAGCAACAGAGAGCUCAGGGAGGUCGUCGCCAGUAUCGUCGCAUACCUUGCCGGUGACAUUCAUCUGUCCCAGUUCCCAGGGGCCAUACACUGCAUAUCCUCCCUGUUUGAUACCACCCUGCCGUAUUGGAACAACCAACAAGGAACCAAUCAUGUUACUGUUAGUGAGUCAAAAAAAGAUGCUGACGGUGCUAGGGAAAGUUUUAUUUCUCUUGCCAAAGGCAUAGAGGAAUAUAGACGAAGAAGAGUUGCUGGUUUCCCUAAGAAAAAAUCAAUUUCUGUUCUCAAAGGCACCGAGGACAACAAAGCAAAAAUUGUCAGAAAUCAAGGUGGUGACAUUCCGCAAGAUGGAGAACUUGGCAGCAAAGGAGAUUGCUGGAAUGAGCUGAUUCUACAAGGCCUGACAAUUCUUGAGAAGCUCGUCUUCGAUCAACACAACUGCAACGACAUAUGCAAUACUUCUGGUCUCAUCCCUAAGAUCAUGGCACCUCUGUACUCUGAGACACUAAUCCAAGAUAUCAAUGUAAGUGCAUGUGACGAUGUAGUGAAUGGGUCACUCAAAGUGAUACACAGGUUAAUCCGUGCUCCAAACUGGAUUGGCAGAAGUGAUCUGGUCCACAAAAUCUGUUCCAACGAGCAUGCACUGAGCAACCUGGAGAGAAUUCUUUAUCAGGGAAAAAAUGAUGGUACAGAACUACAGAUGCGAGCCAUAGAAAUCCUGACAGAACUGGCCAUUGAUUCGUCAGCCAACCUCAGCACCGAAACAAAAGAAAAUCUAAUCAGAAAGCAGUUGCAGAUAUUCCUUACUGAGGAUGAAGGGGACAAAGAUGGUUUGAACAAGGAGAAAGAUGGUAAAGGGGACAAAGGAAAGCUUAGAGUUACGGCUGGGAAAUCACUGGCAUUGCUUUCCAAGAUGGAAACUAUCUCUAAGUUCAUAAAAAAUCAACAGAACAGCAUUGCUGAUUGUCCCAAUGAAAUACUUGAUUCUAAGAACGACAUCACAUACAGGACAGUAGCAUUGGAGAUCUUGGAGAACUUGUGCACUCACCAUACAUUGGACAAGGAUAAUGUGAAGAAAGACUUGCUGCCAAAGGUCCUCAUGGAAGUACUGGCCAGUACACGAGACCUCCCCAAAGAAAAGAGAGGUCAGAGAAAAAUGUCUCGAUGGGAAAGGAAACGGGCAAGAUUUGAUGAAGAAAAUCAACUGAGGCUCAAACGCAGUGGCCAAAUCAAGAAGUCACCUGAAAAGUCAAGUGAGGAGCUAAAAGCUGAAAUGGAAUACCGAGAAGCGUUAUUGUCGCUUACUUUUGUGAUGCGUGACAAACUGAUGAGUGCAGAAGACUUCGAUGAUGUGGCUCGAAAGAUUUCUCCCGUGGAAAGUAAAUUUUUGGGGAAGCUCAGGGAUAUAGUAGAAGAAAAUUGUGAGGACAGAGCUGACUGUCUAAGAAUCGUGAAGCUUUGUGGCCAGAUUGCGGAUUUAAUGUUGCAACCUGGCCAGGACACUACCCAGCUCAAUGAAUUCCUGAAGUCAUUGGAAAAGGCUUCAAAGAUCAUGUCUAACCUUGAAAGCUGCAUGUUCUUUGCAGGGACUGAUUGCGGCGUGAAGAAGACAGCCAGUCCUCUCCUCUCCGAUCUUGUGGAAAAAGUGCGAAACUUGGUUGGUGACGAGAAUGUAGCUGUAAUUGGCUAA
rnacentral:rRNA from 1 species